rnacentral:rRNA from 1 species
GCAUGUGGUUUAAUUCGAUGCAACGCGAAGAACCUUACCUGGUCUUGACAUAUCUAGAAUCCUGCAGAGAUGCGGGAGUGCCUUCGGGAAUUAGAAUACAGGUGCUGCAUGGCUGUCGUCAGCUCGUGUCGUGAGAUGUUGGGUUAAGUCCCGCAACGAGCGCAACCCUUGUCCUUAGUUACCAGCGGGUUAAGCCGGGAACUCUAAGGAUACUGCCAGUGACAAACUGGAGGAAGGCGGGGACGACGUCAAGUCAUCAUGGCCCUUACGACCAGGGCUACACACGUGCUACAAUGGUAGGUACAGAGGGCAGCUACACAGCGAUGUGAUGCGAAUCUCAAAAAGCCUAUCGUAGUCCAGAUUGGAGUCUGCAAACUCGACUCCAUGAAGUAGGAAUCGCUAGUAAUCGCGGAUCAGAAUGCCGCGGUGAAUACGUUCCCGGGCCUUGUACACACCGCCCGUCACACCAUGG